rnacentral:rRNA from 1 species
AGCGAACGCUGGCGGCAGGCCUAACACAUGCAAGUCGAACGAACCUUUCGGGGUUAGUGGCGGACGGGUGAGUAACACGUGGGAACGUGCCUUUAGGUUCGGAAUAACUCAGGGAAACUUGUGCUAAUACCGAAUGUGCCCUUCGGGGGAAAGAUUUAUCGCCUUUAGAGCGGCCCGCGUCUGAUUAGCUAGUUGGUUGAGGUAAUGGCUCACCAAGGCGACGAUCAGUAGCUGGUCUGAGAGGAUGAUCAGCCACAUUGGGACUGAGACACGGCCCAAACUCCUACGGGAGGCAGCAGUGGGGAAUCUUGCGCAAUGGGCGAAAGCCUGACGCAGCCAUGCCGCGUGAAUGAUGAAGGUCUUAGGAUUGUGAAAUUCUUUCACCGGGGGCGAUAAUGACGGUACCCGGAGAAGAAGCCCCGGCUAACUUCGUG